CUCUGAAAUGAGCAAAGAAGGGACAAGUCAUUUAAAUUGCUACCACCUGUGAAGAGACAUGAUUAAUCAGGCAAAAGGAGUGUAUGGACCAACGUUUUCUGCCCUGGGUGGCAAAACGGUUAAGGCUGCAUCUCUCUGGGACUUAUCCACAUGGCUCCACUAAUUAGGUGGACCUGGACCCUGGAGAGGACAUGGAAGGGAGCUGUUGAAUGCCAGCAGCUGGCAGUGGAAAGUGCUGCCUGCAGAUGGAGCAGUGGAUCAUGGCAAGCACAGAGAGCUGCAUCCCCAGACACCUCCCGCAACUGCUGGCCCCAAACUCCAGAGUGCUCCUUGCCCUUGCGUCCGCAGGGGAGAAGGUCUCAUUGCUCUGUACCUGCACUAGGAUGCCCUGGGAGUGGUACUCGGCCUCCAAGCCUCUCGAGAAGAAAUCUACAAAUCUCUGCAAUGGAGAGAAAAUGGAAAUCAAGCCACAGGACUGCAAAGGAGCAGGAGAGGGGAAAGGGUAGCGUGGCGGGGGGAGGGGGACAUGUCACAAUGAACGCUCACAAGGGAGCUCAGAAACCUCAAGAGCAGAUCCUGAAAGGACGGGUGGCUGGGACAAGGCCCGUUGCUCUGGCUCUCAUGGGGAGCUGGUGUGAGACAGCGCUGGGUGCGAGACAGCGCUGGGUGCCCUCAGUAGGGCAAGCACAUGGCUGUAACAGGAGAGCUGCUUUGUAGCUUAUGGAGACCAAGGGAGGGUGUUUUCCAACCCCACCCCCUAUACCUAGACAGGAUUUUCAAGUGCAAGGAAGAACACCACAUUUGUUUGUCUAAGCGAUUGGCUGAACAAGAAGUAGGACUCAGUGGACUUGCAGGCCAUAAAAUUUUACAUUUUUAUU